GAUCAGAAAACCACUACAGCUCCUUCUAAGUGCUCUCUCCUGAUGCUGCCCUGCUCCACACCACAGAGUGCUCUGGGCAGUCUCUAUCCUUGCCCCCACCUGGGAAUGUAACACAGAUGCAGAAUGGGGGUUGCUGGAGAGGUAUGUAAGCAGACAAAGUCCUUGUCCUUCACUCUCUUGCCAUCACUCACCUGUUUUGCAACUAAUCACGGGCUCUGCCUCCCUCUCUCCAAUGAGCAGUAUUGAUUUGCUGGGCUGUGCCUUCAUCACCCACAGCUGUGGGUGCCCUUUCCAGGGAAGUACUGAGCUCUGAUGCCAGGUUGGAGGUGAAAGUUCUGAGAUAGAUGGGGUGAACUGCCAGCCUUGUGUGGACUCUGGCACCCGAGUGCCUCAGAGCACAGCAGGGGAUUGGGUAUGGCAUGAAACCUGCCCUCAGUUCUCCCCUCAAGAUCGGUCCCAAGGACCCUCCAAAGUGAGCAGUGCUGGGAUGGCAGCCCUCUCUGCUCAUUUGCUGGCUGGAGCGAGGGAAUGCUCUGGGCUUUACGAAGGAAGAAAUAGCACCUGGGGUGACUUAAGCAAUAGCCAGGAGAAUACUCCUGUGCCUAAACCCACAUGGUGGAUUGCAAGGGAGGGUUCCCAGGGUGGUGCUGCUAACAUCUUGCAUGGGUUUGGGGAAUGAGGAACAGCUGGUAACAGCCCAGGACUCCAUGCCCCAGCAGCCCCAUGCAGUGGGGUUGUCCUGGUGGGAGGGUCUCUUCUCAGCCCCUGUUCCUUCCCUGCCCUUGCUUUGCACCUCUCCUCUUCUGUUUCAGAAAUCCAGGGCAGGGCUCGGUGGCACUUCUUUGUUUUGCAGACAGCAGCACACUGGGAUAAGGCCUCUAUGGUUGAGGACACACAGAAAACAGCCUGUCUGCAUGGCAAAGAUGUGGCAGUCUGUCCCAAGGAAGUCCAGGUCCACUGCCCACCUAGAAGUUCCUCCUUGGUGAUGGAGCUCAGCCACCCAUGGGGUACAGCUCCCCCAGGGCAGACCCUGCUGCACCCCUGGGUUCUUCAGCUUUCUUGGGCAAUCCAGAGUGAGCAAAUCCCAGGUAAUAUGAAUGUCCCACAUCCCUGCCAGCUGCAGGAGAGCUCUCUGGUGCAGAGACACUGAUGUGGUGUAAAUGAGCAAUGGGGUUGUGCCGAAGCAAUCGCAGCCUGUCAGCCACUCGUGUUUCUAUAAUUCGUGAUGGACUUGAGCUAAGAGGUCUCUGGCUCUCCCCUCUCCCCCAGCAGCAUGGCAGGAAGGCUCUGACAUUAAGCAAAAUAAAAUCCAACCCUUAGCAUUAAGUAAAACUCCC
rnacentral:lncRNA from 1 species